CUACGGGUGGCUCCAGUUUCGAAUCUUUCACAAUGGGGGAAACCCUGAUGGAGCAACGCAGCGUGAGGGAUGAAGGUUUUCGGAUUGUAAACCUCUGUCGUGGGGGACUAACGCCGUAGAAAUACGGUCUGAAUUAACCCCAAGAGGAAGUAGUGGCAAACUCUGUGCCAGCAGCCGCGGUAAUACAGAGACUACAAGCGUUACUCGGAAUCACUGGGCGUAAAGCGUGCGUAGGCGGCCGUAGAGUCAUGUAUGAAAGGCCGGGGCUGAACUCCGGUUAUGUGCAUGAGACCUUAUGGAUAGAGAGGUGUAUAGGGGUAAGCGGAAUUCCUGGAGUAGCAGUGAAAUGCGUAGAUAUCAGGAGGAACACCAGAGGCGAAGGCGGCUUACUGGGUUACAUCUGACGCUGAGGUACGAAAGCGUGGGGAGCGAAAGGGAUUAGAUACCCGGGUAGUC
rnacentral:rRNA from 1 species